GGACCUACGGAAUGGAUGCAGUUAUUAGAAUAAACCAAGCAGGCUUGGCCUGCCAUUUGGUGAAUCUGAAUAACCCAGUUGAUCGCAUGGUCUUCGUACCGGCGACGUAUCCUUCAAAUGUCUGCCUUAUCAACCGUCGAUGGGUAGUUUAUGCGCCUACCAUGGUUGUAACGGGUAACGGAGAAUUAGGGUUCGACUCCGGAGAGGGAGCCUGAGAAAUGGCUACCACAUCUAAGGAAGGCAGCAGGCACGCAAAUUACCCACUCUUGGAAAGAGGAGGUAGUGACGAAGAAUAACAGGACGGUCUCUUACUGAGGCCCGUCACUGGAAUGAGUACAGUUUAAAUCCUUUAAUGAGGAUCUAUUAGAGGGCAAGUCUGGUGCCAGCAGCCGCGGUAAUUCCAGCUCUAAUAGCGUAUAUUAAAGUUGUUGCGUUUAAAAAGCUCGUAGUUGAAUCUGAGUCUUUUGGUUGGCGGUCCCUUAACAGGUGUACUGCUUUACCAGGACCAGUUAUCUGGUUUUCCCUUGAUGCUCUUCAUUGAGCGUCUUGGGUGACUGGAGAGUUUACUUUGAAAAAAUCAGAGUGCUCAAAGCAGGCUUAUAGUCUGAAUGGUGGUGCAUGGAAUAAUGGAAUAAGACUUCGGUUUUAUUUUCAUGGCUUUCGAAUCUCGAAGUAAUGAUUAAGAGGGACAGACGGGGGCAUUCGUAUUGCAGCGUUAGAGGUGAAAUUCUUGGAUCGUUGCAAGACGUCCU
rnacentral:rRNA from 1 species